rnacentral:rRNA from 1 species
CCUACGGGGGGCAGCAGUCGAGAAUCAUUCACAAUGGGGGAAACCCUGAUGGUGCGACGCCGCGUGGGGGAAUGAAGGUCUUCGGAUUGUAAACCCCUGUCAUGUGGGAGCAAAUUAAAAAGAUAGUACCACAAGAGGAAGAGACGGCUAACUCUGUGCCAGCAGCCGCGGUAAUACAGAGGUCUCAAGCGUUGUUCGGAAUCACUGGGCGUAAAGCGUGCGUAGGCAGUUUCGUAAGUCGUGUGUGAAAGGCGCGGGCUCAACCCGCGGACGGCACAUGAUACUGCGAGGCUAGAGUACUGGAGGAGGAAGCGGAAUUCUCGGUGUAGCAGUGAAAUGCGUAGAUAUCGCGCAGAACACUCGUGGCGAAGGCGGGUUCCUGGACAUUAACUGACGCUGAGGCACGAAGGCCAGGGGAGCGAAAGGGAUUAGAUACCCCAGUAGUC